CUCCAGAUGUUGCUGAACUACAACUCCCAUGAUUCUAUCAAUGAAAUAGAAAUAGGGUGAGAAUCAUGGGAGUUGUAGUUCAGCAACAUCUGGAG